ACCCUCACAAACAUACAACUCACGCCUCUUCCCUCUCAGCCGCUCUCUCUCUCUUCUCUCCACCCCUCUCUCUCCCUCUCGGCCUCCUACCACCGCGCCACCAGACGGCCGCCACCGCGACGGACAGCAGCACAGCCCAACGCUUCUCCCUCCGCCCUGACCGGAAAUACUCAGCAGCGGCAGAGACCACGGUGCCGCUGCCCCUGUUUCCUCUCGCCGUACGCCGCCCUCUCUCCCUUUCCAGAUCCGGCCAGACAACCAUCUGACGCCGCCCCCUGCUCCGGCGGGUAGCUCCUCAUCCCACUUCAUCCCAACUCCCUUUAUCAAUAUAGGUUUCUAAAUCUAAAUUUGUUUUCUGUAAAAUCAAUGAAUAUGUAUUCCUUUUCGAUUUCUUAUGAAUUACAAACACUAGAUCUAAUGAUGUGUGUAUGCAUGUUUGGAUUUAUAAAAAUAAGAAUUUUGUGGGAGUUUGGUUGUUUUCUGUAAAUUGAAAGAAAGCAGAGAUCUUUGCAUAUGAAAAUAAAACUAUACAAGUUUAUGAGAAUUACCGAUUGAUGAUGUGCAGUGAGAAAUGGCAGAUUGAAUUAUUUUGUGAAAAGAGCAAAUGGAGAAAUCUGUUGAUGGUUUAUGAUUUGAAACUGAUGGAAUGAGAAUGAUACAAUGAGGUUUAAAUAGAUUGAAUUACUUGUUUGAACAUAAACGUGUGAAAGAGAUCAAUCAAAGUUUGCUGCUUCAAAAUUUGCUGCUGUGGAAAUCAAAUUUUACGGAAAGGCUUUUGAAUCUUCUGUUUGCUUUUGAAUUGAAGAUGUUGGGGAUUUUAGAAUUUGAGAGUAAAAUGAAUUGUGAGAGUUUAAAAUUAUUAAAAAUUGUAUUUUGUGCAAAUAUAGAAGUGAACUGUAGGAAAAUGAAAAUUUGCAGAAAUAAUAAAAUUACCUUUACAGAGAAAAGAGCACAAAUGAUCUUAAAGAUUGCUGCGUUUUUGGCAUGAUAACUGAGAUGAUAAAGGAUGAUGUUUUAAAUAAGAAAAUUUGAGAUGAUACUUGUGGCUCAAGAAUGUUUUGAGACGAAACGUGGCCGAGUGAAAUGAAAUGGCUGUAGCAAAGUGAUACACCUAUACCUUCUUUUAAAUUAAAAUAAUAAUUUAUAUAAUAUAUAAGAAUGUAUGGGCUUCCAUGAAAAAUAUGAAGCUUUAGCCCAUUAAUAACAACAAGCCCAACAUUAAUAAAAAUUAAGAAAAUAUUUUAUUCUUUAUCCAAAAAUCAAUAUAAUGUCAUAAUAAAUAUAUUUAAAUAAAUAAUUUUAUUUAGGCACAAAUUUAUAUAAAAAUAUGAGUAUAGAUCUUUAUUUCCAUAGGUAUAAUUUAUAGUUCAAAGUCACAUCUAACUAGGGCGGUUAGAUAUCUGAUAAGAAUGAAAAUAGGAAUGGCUGG
rnacentral:lncRNA from 1 species